AAAUAGGGAGCGAGAAGUUGCGUUUAGUUUCGGCCUAAAAGUAUGGUUAAAACUCCUAUUUA
rnacentral:tRNA from 1 species